rnacentral:rRNA from 1 species
AGGAAAAGAAACCAACUGGGAUUACNUUAGUAACGGCGAGUGAAGCGGUAAAAGCUCAAAUUUGAAAUCUGGUACUUUCAGUGCCCGAGUUGUAAUUUGUAGAAUUUGUCUUUGAUUAGGUCCUGUCUAUGUUCCUUGGAACAGGACGUCAUAGAGGGUGAGAAUCCCGUUUGGCGAGGAUACCUUUUCUCUGUAAGACUUUUUCGAAGAGUCGAGUUGUUUGGGAAUGCAGCUCAAAGUGGGUGGUAAAUUCCAUCUAAAGCUAAAUAUUGGCGAGAGACCGAUAGCGAACAAGUACAGUGAUGGAAAGAUGAAAAGAACUUUGAAAAGAGAGUGAAAAAGUACGUGAAAUUGUUGAAAGGGAAGGGCAUUUGAUCAGACAUGGUGUUUUUUGCAUGCACUCGCCUCUCGUGGGCUUGGGCCUCUCAAAAAUUUCACUGGGCCAACAUCAAUUCUGGCAGCAGGAUAAAUCAUUAAGAAUGUAGCUACUUCGGUAGUGUUAUAGCUUUUUGGAAUACUGUUAGCCGGGAUUGAGGACUGCGCUUCGGCA